AAGUCGUAACAAGGUCUCCGUUGGUGAACCAGCGGAGGGAUCAUUACAGAGUUGCAAAACUCCUAACCAUUGUGAACGAACCCGUUAUAGUUGCUUCGGCGGGUAGUGCGUUGCAACUGCCCGCCGAUAGCAUGCAAUCUCUAGAUUACAGUGGAUCUCUGAGUUACUUAUUUAAUAAGUUAAAACUUUCAACAACGGAUCUCUUGGUUCUG
rnacentral:misc_RNA from 1 species